UGUUGAUAAGUAUAUGUACACCAACCCAUGAUAUCAGUCUUCCCACAAACAUAGACCUUGUUCAAACCACCAAAAGAAACAUGGGUAUGUUCUUCAAGCCUUCUCUGCUUCCCCUCCUCGUGUUGCUUUUGGUGUUUAGCUUCACAACUACUAAAAGGCCAAGAUUUGCAGAAGCCAGACCACUUUCUUCCCCACCUCAACAAAGAUUGUCAAAGAUGCUUGGAACACUAGGAUUGGUAUGCAAGUGUUGUGAUGGACCUGGAGAAGAAUGCAAAACUACAUGGGUUGAGCCUUGCUCUAAGCUCCAAUGUUUGCCUUGGAAAGCUAUGUCAAAACAUGCGAAUAAGAUAUAGUUUUGAUUUUGUUGUAAAUAUAGCCACUUUAUAUAUAUAUAUAUACUUACUAGCUACUUUAUGAAAUCAAGUGGUCUUCAAUUCAAUCCAAUUUUGAAGUUUUCCAGUU